GUUUUGGCGGGAUAUCGCUCCAGAGCCCUUUAAUAAAACGAAUGACCUCACUUUUUACAUCCGUUUGUCCUCCUUCCUGCACUCUCAACCACUUUCCAACGAUGAUUUGGUUGGGCCGGAUUGUGUGAGAGUUGUCCCGUGGACUUGUGGAGCCUUGUGGAGGAAUAAUCUUCAGCGAUGGAGUGAUACGGCCUUGUUCACAGUCACCGCCGAGCUGCUAUCAGCAAACGCCACGUUGACCUUUGCACCCACUCAGCUUUACAGCAGCUGUACAGACAGUGGCAGCCUCCAACCCAGUGGGCUUGCACUGACCGUAUCUGCUGAUACUGCGUGGGAAGCUGGCCGAGGAUGGAAUAUUGAAAGAGGACAUCUGUUUGGGCACCAAGGCCACCACGCAGCGCUCAGACACCUGGAAGACAAAGGUGGAAGAAGUAGACAGCACCUGAUCCGUUUUGUGCGGUAGAAGAGUGACGCGCCAAACACCCCUGUUUAUUACUGCGCAUAGAGCCCAAGGAAGUAAGCCUGGGUAAGCAAAGUAAGUUGAUAACCACCUUCAUGGUACCUGGUUCUUCAGACUUCGUUGAGCCAGCUAACACAAAGAAAGUCUGGCUCUGUCAAACCUGCUUCGUAGUACCUCCCUCUGGUUAAUGGAUCUGAAUCCAGAUUUAGGGUUAUUGUAGCUUCCUGACAGCUAGUUAAAUCAGAACUGUACAACUAACUAAUAACGUUCUGCCACAUUCAAGCUGUCAUUGUAUUGACUUUUCCCAGAAACUAUAGCUCCUUUAAUAAAUAUACAUGAAGUGGGAUUGAACACACUCUAGCCC